GAUGAAGAACGCAGCGAAAUGCGAUAAGUAAUGUGAAUUGCAGAAUUCAGUGAAUCAUCGAAUCUUUGAACGCACAUUGCGCCUCCUGGUAUUCCGGGGGGCAUGCCUGUCCGAGCGUCAUUACAACCCUCAAGCUCAGCUUGGUGUUGGGCCCCGCCGCCCCGGCGGGCCCUAAAGUCAGUGGCGGUGCCGUCCGGCUCCGAGCGUAGUAAUUCUUCUCGCUCUGGAGGUCCGGUCGUGUGCUCGCCAGCAACCCCCAAUUUUUUUCAGGUUGACCUCGGAUCAGGUAGGGAUACCCGCUGAACUUAAGCAUAUCAAUAAGCGGAGGA
rnacentral:misc_RNA from 1 species